AUGAAUCAUUCAGGCAACUACAGCUGUGUGUUUUCAGAAGAACCGUUGGAAAUAACCAAAGUGACAGGAUAUGGUCUUAAUAACAUCUUCAUAAAUGUGAUCGCGACAUCUAAUAGCAGCAAAGUCAUAAUUGUCAUAAUGUGCGCUAUCAUAGUGUUGCUCCUCAGUCUGUUUCUGGGAAUCUGGGCACUGAUCCGAAAACGAGGUACCACUUUCUCUAGAUCUGCAAACACUGACACAUUUCACUUUGUUGAAUUGUUCUGUUUAAAUCCUAAAACUCAUUUUCUUUCUGGUAGGAUGCCUUGGAAUCCACAACGAAAGGUCAGUUCAGAAGUUACUAGAAAUUAAAAUAAAUGAAAAUAUUAAAUUAUAUCA
ensembl:lncRNA